CGCAAAUAGCAAUCUCAGCUUUAUUGUAGUUAGAGAUGAUGUUUUCCAAUGUGCAUUUCAUUGCACAAACUUGAAUUAUUUUGUCUACUAUAUGAACCUAUGUCUAUGUAUUAUCAGUAUUGAAAAGUAUCCAGUUACCGAUCACCCUGGCUGUGUUACUACCUGUCAAAACGACUCAGUUUUCUGCUCAUCCGGAUUUGGAAUUCCGUUAUUCAAGUAUCAGACAGAUAUGGAGAUUGUACGACCAACAAUAUAUACAUUUUCGUACCAUUGUGUUUAUAAGAAAGAUGGCUAUGAAUUUGAUGUAAAUUGCUAUCCUAGUUCAUAUUACUUUAGAUGCGACGGAAAGGAUAAUAUUGGUCAUCGAGCGAAUUGGGCUUAUGCUGUCAACUAUUGUACAAGUUUGAACACAACAUUGUCGAAUGCAGUCGGUAAUUCGUCAUCAGAUGUAUGGUCAAGAUAUUUUCGAUACGAAAAGUUC